AGGUAAGCUACUAAGAGCGAAUGGUGGAUGCCUUGACUGGUAAAGGCGAUGAAGGACGUACUAGACUGCGAUAAGCUACGGGGAGCUGUCAAGAAGCUUUGAUCCGUAGAUUUCCGAAUGGGGCAACCCAAUGUAUAGAGAUAUACAUUACCUAUAUAGGAGCGAACGAGGGGAAUUGAAACAUCUUAGUACCCUCAGGAAAAGAAAUCAAUAGAGAUUGCGUCAGUAGCGGCGAGCGAAAGCGCAAGAGGGCAAACCCAGUGCUUGCACUGGGGGUUGUAGGACUGCAAUGUGCAAGAGGUGAGUUUAGCAGAACAUUCUGGAAAGUAUAACCAUAGAGGGUGAUAGUCCCGUAUGCGAAAAACAAACCUUAGCUAGCAGUAUCCUGAGUAGGGCGGGACACGAGGAAUCCUGUCUGAAGCUGGGUCGACCACGAUCCAACCCUAAAUACUAAUACCAGAUCGAUAGUGCACAAGUACCGUGAGGGAAAGGUGAAAAGAACUGAGGUGAUCAGAGUGAAAUAGAACCUGAAACCAUUUGCUUACAAUCAUUCAGAGCCCUAUGUAGCAAUACAGGGUGAUGGACUGCCUUUUGCAUAAUGAGCCUGCGAGUUGUGGUGUCUGGCAAGGUUAAGCAAACGCGAAGCCGUAGCGAAAGCGAGUCUGAAUAGGGCGCUUAGUCAGAUGCUGCAGACCCGAAACGAAGUGAUCUAUCCAUGAGCAAGUUGAAGCUAGUGUAAGAACUAGUGGAGGACUGAACCCAUAGGCGUUGAAAAGCCCCGGGAUGACUUGUGGAUAGGGGUGAAAGGCCAAUCAAACUUCGUGAUAGCUGGUUCUCUCCGAAAUAUAUUUAGGUAUAGCGUUGUGUCGUAAUAUAAGGGGGUAGAGCACUGAAUGGGCUAGGGCAUACACCAAUGUACCAAACCCUAUCAAACUCCGAAUACCUUAUAUGUAAUCACAGCAGUCAGGCGGCGAGUGAUAAAAUCCGUCGUCAAGAGGGAAACAACCCAGACUACCAGCUAAGGUCCCUAAAUCUUACUUAAGUGGAAAACGAUGUGAAGUUACUUAAACAACCAGGAGGUUGGCUUAGAAGCAGCCAUCCUUUAAAGAAAGCGUAAUAGCUCACUGGUCUAGUGAUUUUGCGCGGAAAAUAUAACGGGGCUAAAGUAAGUACCGAAGCUGUAGACUUGCACACAACUUAGAUUAUUUAAGUUUAGAAUAUGAGAAACUAAGUUAUAUGUUUAGUUAUAUUUUUACUGAUUUUUAUAGAGUAAAGAUAGAAAUAAAACUUAGUAAAAUCAGUAAAAAUAUUCUUAGACUAAAGUUAAGUAGUUUAAGUUGUGUGCAAGUGGUAGGAGAGCGUUCUAUUUGCGUCGAAGGUAUACCGGUAAGGAGUGCUGGAGCGAAUAGAAGUGAGCAUGCAGGCAUGAGUAGCGAUAAUUAAUGUGAGAAUCAUUAACGCCGUAAACCCAAGGUUUCCUACGCGAUGCUCGUCAUCGUAGGGUUAGUCGGGUCCUAAGUCGAGUCCGAAAGGGGUAGACGAUGGCAAAUUGGUUAAUAUUCCAAUACCAACAUUAGUGUGCGAUGGAAGGACGCUUAGGGCUAAGGGGGCUAGCGGAUGGAAGUGCUAGUCUAAGGUCGUAGGAGGUUAUACAGGCAAAUCCGUAUAACAAUACUCCGAGAACUGAAAGGCUUUUUGAAGUCUUCGGAUGGAUAGAAGAACCCCUGAUGCCGUCGAGCCAAGAAAAGUUUCUAAGUUUAGCUAAUGUUGCCCGUACCGUAAACCGACACAGGUGGGUGGGAUGAGUAUUCUAAGGCGCGUGGAAGAACUCUCUUUAAGGAACUCUGCAAAAUAGCACCGUAUCUUCGGUAUAAGGUGUGGUUCGCUUCGUAUUAGGAUUUACUCCGAAAGCGAAGAAACUUACAACAAAGAGUCCCUCCCGACUGUUUACCAAAAACACAGCACUCUGCUAACUCGUAAGAGGAUGUAUAGGGUGUGACGCCUGCCCGGUGCUCGAAGGUUAAUUGAUGGGGUUAGCAUUAGCGAAGCUCUUGAUCGAAGCCCGAGUAAACGGCGGCCGUAACUAUAACGGUCCUAAGGUAGCGAAAUUCCUUGUCGGUUAAAUACCGACCUGCAUGAAUGGCGUAACGAGAUGGGAGCUGUCUCAAAGAGGGAUCCAGUGAAAUUGUAGUGGAGGUGAAAAUUCCUCCUACCCGCGGCAAGACGGAAAGACCCCGUGGACCUUUACUACAGCUUGACACUGCUAUUUGGAUAAGAAUGUGCAGGAUAGGUGGGAGGCUUUGAGUAUAUGACGCCAGUUGUAUAUGAGCCAUUGUUGAGAUACCACUCUUUCUUAUUUGGGUAGCUAACCAGCUUGAGUUAUCCUCAAGUGGGACAAUGUCUGGUGGGUAGUUUGACUGGGGCGGUCGCCUCCCAAAUAAUAACGGAGGCUUACAAAGGUUGGCUCAGAACGGUUGGAAAUCGUUCGUAGAGUAUAAAGGUAUAAGCCAGCUUAACUGCAAGACAUACAAGUCAAGCAGAGACGAAAGUCGGUCUUAGUGAUCCGGUGGUUCUGUGUGGAAGGGCCAUCGCUCAAAGGAUAAAAGGUACCCCGGGGAUAACAGGCUGAUCUCCCCCAAGAGCUCACAUCGACGGGGAGGUUUGGCACCUCGAUGUCGGCUCAUCGCAUCCUGGGGCUGGAGCAGGUCCCAAGGGUAUGGCUGUUCGCCAUUUAAAGCGGUACGCGAGCUGGGUUCAGAACGUCGUGAGACAGUUCGGUCCCUAUCUGCCGUGGGCGUAAGAAGAUUGAAGAGAUUUGACCCUAGUACGAGAGGACCGGGUUGAACAAACCACUGGUGUAGCUGUUGUUCUGCCAAGAGCAUCGCAGCGUAGCUAAGUUUGGAAAGGAUAAACGCUGAAAGCAUCUAAGCGUGAAGCCAACUCUAAGAUGAAUCUUCUCUAAGCUCUCUAGAAGACUACUAGUUUGAUAGGCUGGGUGUGUAAUGGAUGAAAGUCCUUUAGCUGACCAGUACUAAUAGAGCGUUUGGCUUAUCUUU
rnacentral:rRNA from 1 species